rnacentral:rRNA from 1 species
AACGAACGUUAGCGGCGCGCUUAACACAUGCAAGUCGCACGAGAAAGGGAGCAAUCCCCAGUAAAGUGGCGCACGGGUGAGUAACACGUAGGCAAUCUGCCUCCGAGUGGUGGAUAACCUUCCGAAAGGAGGGCUAAUACAGCAUGAGACCACGCCUCCGAAAGGGGAUGAGGUCAAAGCCGGCCUCUAUACAUAAGCUGGCGCUUGGAGAUGAGCCUGCGGCCCAUCAGGUAGUUGGCGGGGUAAUAGCCCACCAAGCCUAAGACGGGUAGCUGGUCUGAGAGGAUGAUCAGCCACACUGGAACUGAGACACGGUCCAGACUCCUACGGGAGGCAGCAGU